UUGCUUGGUUGACCCGAUUGUCAAAAUUACGGAAACCGACCCGCCAGCAGAUCUAAUUACUCAUGCCGUCAAUGCCAAUCAAGGCGAAGACGUUCAGAUGAGCUGUAUGGUGCUGAAUAAACCUGAAAAUUAUGACGUCCAAUGGCUUCUCAUUACCAAUAUAUCUA
rnacentral:sRNA from 1 species